rnacentral:rRNA from 1 species
AGGCUUAACACAUGCAAGUCGAGGGGCAGCAUUUCAGUUUGCUUGCAAACUGGAGAUGGCGACCGGCGCACGGGUGAGUAACACGUAUCCAACCUGCCGAUAACUCGGGGAUAGCCUUUCGAAAGAAAGAUUAAUACCCGAUGGUAUAAUCAGACCGCAUGGUUUGAUUAUUAAAGAAUUUCGGUUAUCGAUGGGGAUGCGUUCCAUUAGGCAGUUGGUGAGGUAACGGCUCACCAAACCUUCGAUGGAUAGGGGUUCUGAGAGGAAGGUCCCCCACAUUGGAACUGAGACACGGUCCAAACUCCUACGGGAGGCAGCAGUGAGGAAUAUUGGUCAAUGGGCGCAGGCCUGAACCAGCCAAGUAGCGUGAAGGAUGACUGCCCUAUGGGUUGUAAACUUCUUUUAUAUGGGAAUAAAGUUUUCCACGUGUGGAAUUUUGUAUGUACCAUAUGAAUAAGGAUCGGCUAACUCCGUGCCAGCAGCCGCGGUAAUACGGAGGAUCCGAGCGUUAUCCGGAUUUAUUGGGUUUAAAGGGAGCGUAGGUGGACAGUUAAGUCAGUUGUGAAAGUUUGCGGCUCAACCGUAAAAUUGCAGUUGAUACUGGCUGUCUUGAGUACAGUAGAGGUGGGCGGAAUUCGUGGUGUAGCGGUGAAAUGCUUAGAUAUCACGAAGAACUCCGAUUGCGAAGGCAGCUCACUGGACUGCAACUGACACUGAUGCUCGAAAGUGUGGGUAUCAAACAGGAUUAGAUACCCUGGUAGUCCACACAGUAAACGAUGAAUACUCGCUGUUUGCGAUAUACAGUAAGCGGCCAAGCGAAAGCAUUAAGUAUUCCACCUGGGGAGUACGCCGGCAACGGUGAAACUCAAGGGAAUUGACGGGGGCCCGCACAAGCGGAGGAACAUGUGGUUUAAUUCGAUGAUACGCGAGGAACCUUACCCGGGCUUAAAUUGCAUUUGAAUAAUCUGGAAACAGGUUAGCCGCAAGGCAAAUGUGAAGGUGCUGCAUGGUUGUCGUCAGCUCGUGCCGUGAGGUGUCGGCUUAAGUGCCAUAACGAGCGCAACCCUUAUCUUUAGUUACUAACAGGUCAUGCUGAGGACUCUAGAGAGACUGCCGUCGUAAGAUGUGAGGAAGGUGGGGAUGACGUCAAAUCAGCACGGCCCUUACGUCCGGGGCUACACACGUGUUACAAUGGGGGGUACAGAAGGCAGCUACCUGGUGACAGGAUGCUAAUCCCAAAAGCCUCUCUCAGUUCGGAUCGAAGUCUGCAACCCGACUUCGUGAAGCUGGAUUCGCUAGUAAUCGCGCAUCAGCCAUGGCGCGGUGAAUACGUUCCCGGGCCUUGUACACACCGCCCGUCAAGCCAUGAAAGCCGGGGGUACCUGAAGUACGUAACCGCAAGGAGCGUCCUAGGGUAAAACUGGUAAUUGGGGCUAAGUCA